AACGUACGCUGGCGGCAGGCCUAACACAUGCAAGUCGAGCGGACCCUUCGGGGUUAGCGGCGGACGGGUGAGUAACGCGUGGGAAUAUGCCCUUCUCUACGGAAUAGUCCUGGGAAACUGGGGGUAAUACCGUAUACGCCCUUUGGGGGAAAGAUUUAUCGGGGAAGGAUUAGCCCGCGUUGGAUUAGGUAGUUGGUGGGGUAAUGGCCUACCAAGCCGACGAUCCAUAGCUGGUUUGAGAGGAUGAUCAGCCACACUGGGACUGAGACACGGCCCAGACUCCUACGGGAGGCAGCAGUGGGGAAUCUUAGACAAUGGGGGCAACCCUGAUCUAGCCAUGCCGCGUGAGUGAUGAAGGCCUUAGGGUUGUAAAGCUCUUUCAGCUGGGAAGAUAAUGACGGUACCAGCAGAAGAAGCCCCGGCUAACUCCGUG
rnacentral:rRNA from 1 species